rnacentral:rRNA from 1 species
UGGGCGUAAAGCGCGUGUAGGCGGUUUCUUAAGUCUGAUGUGAAAGCCCCGGGCUCAACCUGGGAAGUGCAUUGGAAACUGGGAGACUUGAGUACGGGAGAGGGCAGUGGAAUUCCUAGUGUAGGAGUGAAAUCCGUAGAUAUUAGGAGGAACACCGGUGGCGAAGGCGGCUGCCUGGACCGAUACUGACGCUGAGACGCGAAAGCGUGGGGAGCAAACAGGAUUAGAUACCCUGGUAGUCCACGCCGUAAACGAUGAGUACUAGGUGUCGCGGG